rnacentral:piRNA from 1 species
UGCUUUUAUCGAAAAGUUGUC